UAAAUAAUUACUAGUUAAUUAAAUUCUCCCUCUCUCUUUCUCUCUCUCUCUCUCUCUCAUUUACUGUGAAAGUAAGCAAGUGAAGCUCCAUCACAUAUUAAAUACCUACCGCUGCCAAGUCCCAACCCAUCACACCCUCAGCUUCUUUCUUAUUCACUCCUCCACACUAUCUAUCUUCUUUGGCCUUGAUCGAUUUUUGUCUUCAUGAUCAUGAGGGUUUAGCAAAGUGUUGCUAACAGAGUUUAUUGGCAUUCUGUCCACCUCCACUUCCUACUCUCUCUCUCUCUCUCUCUACCCAUGAAUAUGGAGGUGGGCAUACUGUCAACUGAGCUCUGUUGGCUACACUUUGUAAAGCCUUCAUGAUAUAUAUUUACUAUUCAUUUCUCAACAAUUAAAAGAAAGAGCCACCACAGCGACUUCCCUAAACCAAUAUUUUUACGUUUCUAUACUAACUCGCAAUUCUUGUGAUCGAUGCUUAUAAUAAAAUACUGUAUGUUCUCGAUCUGUUAUCGUCUAACUUAUCAAGACCAUGACUCUGUACGAUCACGAAAGGAUUAUUACUUACCACCAUACUGCUUGCUGUUUUUUUCUUUUCUUUUCUUUUCUUUUUCUUCUUCUGCAGACCCUAAUAAGUUUGCUACGCAAAUCAGAGGUAAAGGGAGAGGAGAUGGAAACCCUAAUGUCUUCCUUCCUUUCUUCGAUCUGUUAAUGUUGGAAGUUUUCAUUUUUCCUGGUGGAUCCACCUGGUGGGAGGCUUGAUGACAAGAUCCUCUCUCGGGAUGAGAUGGAAUUUCAAUAAAAAGAAAUUCUUAUUCCUUUUCAAAUCAAAGUUUAGCCUUUUUGCAGAAAGGAUUUGAAAUCUGCCAUGGUUAUACUUUAUAAAUAGUUAAAUUUACAUGUUUAUUGGCUUAGAUAUGACAGUGGAAAUUUAAGUGUCCGUGACUGGCUUCAGCUCCAUGUAUGCCAGACUUAUUGCCAUUUUGAUUUACAAAAAAACAAGUUGCUUUGGGCUA